rnacentral:rRNA from 1 species
UACGUAGGUGUCAAGCGUUGUCCGGAUUUACUGGGCGUAAAGGAUGCGUAGACGGACAUUUAAGUCAGAUGUGAAAUACCCGAGCUUAACUUGGGUGCUGCAUUUGAAACUGGGUGUCUAGAGUGCAGGAGAGGUAAGUGGAAUUCCUAGUGUAGCGGUGAAAUGCGUAGAGAUUAGGAAGAACACCAGUGGCGAAGGCGACUUACUGGACUGUAACUGACGCUGAGGCAUGAAAGCGUGGGGAGCAAACAGG